rnacentral:tRNA from 1 species
UAAAGUAUAGUUUAUAUAAAAUAUUGAAAUGUGGAUUCAAAGAAAUAAUUUUACUUUGG